rnacentral:rRNA from 1 species
AUUGAACGCUGGCGGCAGGCCUAACACAUGCACGUCGCACGAGUGGCGGACGGGUGAGUAAUGUCUGGGAAACUGCCUGAUGGAGGGGGCUAACUACUGGAAACGGUAGCUAAUACCGCAUACCAUCAGAUGUGCCCAGAUGGGAUUAGUGUGUUGGUGGGGUAACGGCUCACCAAGGCGACGAUCCCUAGCUGGUCUGAGAGGAUGACCCGCCACACGGGAACUGAGAACCGGUCCAGACUCCUACGGUAGGCGGCAGUGGGGAAGAUUGCACAAUGGGCGUAAGCCUGAUGCAGCCAUGCCGCGUGUAUGAAGAAGGCCUUCGGGGUGUAAAGUACUUUCAGCGGUGAGGCGUUACCCGCAGAAGAAGCACCGGCUAACUCCGUGCCAGCAGCCGCGGUAAUAC